rnacentral:lncRNA from 14 species
AUGAGACUCUUGUUGAGACCUUCCCCAUGCCCAGCUCCAGCGAGCACUGAGGGGGCACGGCCCUGCUGCCAGCCUGGGGGGUGCUGGGAGGCACUGGGACCCCAGCAGCCUUUCCCUCCCCUUUUUCCCUGUAUCACUUUGGUGUGUGUGCCCCCCCUCUCAGUGUUGGGGUACAGAGACCCCCCCCAGACCCUUCCUGGGCUUGCUGCAGCCUCACCUUGCACUUUUCUAUGGGGAGGGGUCGCUAAUAAAAGUGGGGGCAGAGCUUUGGAGGUGUUUGGGCCAUGCUGGAUUUUGGGGAGGGGUCCCUGGAGCCCCUCAGCGAGGCUCUGGUGCCUCAGUUUCCCCAGCCUGAGGGCAGGGGGUGAUGCUGAGCCCUGGGACAUUUGGGGUACAGUGGGGGGACAGCCUGGGGACCCUCCCCUGGUGUCCAGCCAGGCUCUGUCCCACGUCCAGGGCUCUGUCUGGUGUCUGUCCGUGUCUGUCCCGUGUCCAGGGCUCUGUCUGGUGUCUGUCCCGGCUCUGUCCCGUGUCCCGUGUCUGUCCCAUGUCCUGGCUCUAUCCUGGCUCUCUCCCGUGUCCUGUGUCUGUCCCGUCUCUGCCCCGUGUCUGUCCCGGCUCUGUCCCGUGUCCCUGGUCUGUCCCGUGUCCGGGGCUCUAUCCCGGGCUCUAUCCCGGGUCCCGCUCUGUCCCGUGUCUGUCCCGGGCUCUGUCCCGUGUCCCGGGCUCUAUCCCGGCUCUAUCCCGGCUCUGUCCCGGGUUCUAUCCCGUUGUCCCGGGCUCUGUCCCGUGUCCCUGGUCGGUCCCGUGUCCCGGCUCUGUCCCGUGUCUGUCCCGUGUCCCGUCCCCCCGUGUCCCGGCUCUGUCCCGUGUCUGUCCCGGCUCUGUCCCGUGUCUGUCCCGGCUCUGUCCCAGCUCUGUCCCGGGCUCUAUCCCGGCUCUGUCCCAUGUCCCGGCUCUGCCCCGUGUCUGUCCCGUGUCUGUCCCGUGUCACGUCCCCCAGAGGGUCCAGCCCGCCCCCCCCCGUGUCUC